rnacentral:rRNA from 1 species
CUACGGGCCGCUGCAGUGGGGAAUAAUGCACAAUGGGCGCAAGCCUGAUGCAGCCAUGCCGCGUGUAUGAAGAAGGCCUUCGGGUUGUAAAGUACUUUCAGCGGGGAGGAAGGGAGUAAAGUUAAUACCUUUGCUCAUUGACGUUACCCGCAGAAGAAGCACCGGCUAACUCCGUGCCAGCAGCCGCGGUAAUACGGAGGGUGCAAGCGUUAAUCGGAAUUACUGGGCGUAAAGCGCACGCAGGCGGUUUGUUAAGUCAGAUGUGAAAUCCCCGGGCUCAACCUGGGAACUGCAUCUGAUACUGGCAAGCUUGAGUCUCGUAGAGGGGGGUAGAAUUCCAGGUGUAGCGGUGAAAUGCGUAGAGAUCUGGAGGAAUACCGGUGGCGAAGGCGGCCCCCUGGACGAAGACUGACGCUCAGGUGCGAAAGCGUGGGGAGCAAACAGGAUUAGAUACCCCGGUAGUC